GGGGGUAAAUUAAUAAUUUAAAUUAUAAUAAAAAAAAUUUUAAUAUUAAAAAAAAAUAAUGGGGGUUAGAGUAUUUUUAAUAGAAAAAAUUAGUAGUUUUAUAGUUAAUUAUUACUGUAAAGGAAAUUAUAAAUAAUUGAAAAUUAAUUAAAAAAAAAGUAAAUUUAAUUUGUUGUAUCUUGUGUAUCAGAGUUUAUUAAAUAUUAGUAAUUUAUUUAAAUAAAUCUCGAAUUUAAAAGAGUUAAUUAAUUAAAAAAGUUAAUGUUGAAUAAUUAUUUUAAAUAAUUAAUUAGAAAUGAAAUGUUAAUCGUUUUUAAAUAUAUCUAGUUUUUUUAGAAAAAAAUUUAAUUUUAAAUUAAAAUAAUUUUAUAAUUUUUUAAUUAAUUAUAAAAAUUUAAAAUUUAAUAUUUUAGGGGAUAAGCUUUAAAUUAAAAUUUUAUAAUUAAUAAAUAAAAAUUAAAAUUUUUAAAAUUUAUAUUGUUUAAAAAUUAUAAUUUAUUAUAAAAAAUUUUAAUUAAAAUAAAAUUUAAAUUAAAUUUAAUUUUUUAUAAAAAAAUGAUUUUUAAUUAAUAAAAAUUAAUAAUAAUGAUAAAAUUAGUAUAUUAUAAUUAAUAAAAAAAAAAUUAGUUAAAAUUAAAUUAAAGGAAUUCGGCAAAAUUUUAUAUUCACUUGUUUAUCAAAAACAUGUCUUUUUGAAAAUAAUUUAAAGUCUAAUCUGCCCACUGAUAUAAUUAUUAAAGGGCUGCAGUAUAUUGACUGUACAAAGGUAGCAUAAUCAUUAGUCUUUUAAUUGAAGACUUGUAUGAAAGAUUUGAUGAAAUAUUAACUGUCUCUGAUUUAUUUAUAUAAAAUUUAAUUUUUUAGUUAAAAAGCUAAAAUAAAAUUAAAAGACGAGAAGACCCUAUAGAGUUUUAUAAUUAUAAUAAUUAAUAAAUAUCUUAUUUAUAUAUAAAUAAAGAAAAAUUAUUUUAAUUAUUUUAUUGGGGUGAUAAAAAAAUUAAAAAAACUUUUUUUUUAUUUAAACAUAAAUAAGUGAAAGAAUGAUCCAUUAAUAAUGAUUAUAAGAAAAAAUUACCUUAGGGAUAACAGCGUAAUAUUUUUUUUUAGUACAAAUAAAAAAAAAAGUUUGCGACCUCGAUGUUGGAUUAAGAUAAAAUUUAAAUGCAAAAGUUUAAAAUUUUGAUCUGUUCGAACAUUAAAAUCUUACAUGAUCUGAGUUCAAACCGGUGUAAGCCAGGUUGGUUUCUAUCUUUAAUAAAAAUAAAUAUUUUA
rnacentral:rRNA from 1 species